GUUGAACGCUGGCGGCGUGCCUAAUACAUGCAAGUCGAGCGAACAGACGAGGAGCUUGCUCCUCUGACGUUAGCGGCGGACGGGUGAGUAACACGUGGAUAACCUACCUAUAAGACUGGGAUAACUUCGGGAAACCGGAGCUAAUACCGGAUAAUAUAUUGAACCGCAUGGUUCAAUAGUGAAAGACGGUUUUGCUGUCACUUAUAGAUGGAUCCGCGCCGCAUUAGCUAGUUGGUAAGGUAACGGCUUACCAAGGCAACGAUGCGUAGCCGACCUGAGAGGGUGAUCGGCCACACUGGAACUGAGACACGGUCCAGACUCCUACGGGAGGCAGCAGUAGGGAAUCUUCCGCAAUGGGCGAAAGCCUGACGGAGCAACGCCGCGUGAGUGAUGAAGGUCUUCGGAUCGUAAAACUCUGUUAUUAGGGAAGAACAAAUGUGUAAGUAACGAUGCACGUCUUGACGGUACCUAAGCAGAAAGCCACGGCUAACUACGU
rnacentral:rRNA from 1 species